rnacentral:rRNA from 1 species
UACGUAGGCAGCGAGCGUUGUUCGGAAUUACUGGGCGUAAAGAGUGUGUAGGCGGUGUUCCCAGUCUGUUGUGAAAUCUCCCGGCUUAACUGGGAGGGUGCAGCGGAAACUAGAAUGCUAGAGGGUGGGAGAGGUAAGCGGAAUUCCUGGUGUAGCGGUGAAAUGCGUAGAUAUCAGGAGGGACACCUGUGGUGUAGACAGCUUACUGGACCACUUCUGACGCUGAGACACGAAAGCGUGGGUAGCAAACAGG